UAAUUCUUCUUCACUGUAAGACAGGCAGGC
rnacentral:piRNA from 1 species